UNGGAGAGGAAAGUGGAAUUCCUAGUGUAGCGGUGAAAUGCGUAGAUAUUAGGAAGANCACCAGUGGCGAAGGCGACUUUCUGGACGAAAACUGACGCUGAGGCGCGAAAGCUAGGGGAGCGAACGGGAUUAGAUACCCCGGUAGUCCUGGCCGUAAACGAUGGGUACUAGGUGUAGGAGGUAUCGACCCNUUCUGUGCCGGAGUUAACGCAAUAAGUACCCCGCCUGGGGAGUACGACCGCAAGGUUGAAACUCAAAGGAAUUGACGGGGGCCCGCACAAGCGGUGGAGUAUGUGGUUUAAUUCGACGCAACGCGAAGAACAUUACCAGGUCUUGACAUUGAUGGACAGAACCAGAGAUGGUUCCUCUUCUUCGGAAGCCAGAAAACAGGUGGUGCACGGUUGUCGUCAGCUCGUGUCGUGAGAUGUUGGGUUAAGUCCCGCAACGAGCGUAACCCCUAUCUUAUGUUGCCAGCACUUUGGGUGGGGACUCAUGAGAGACUGCCGCAGACAAUGCGGAGGAAGGCGGGGAUGACGUCAAAUCAUCAUGCCCCUUAUGACCUGGGCUACACACGUACUACAAUGGGAGUUAAUAGACGGAAGCGAGAUCGCGAGAUGGAGCAAACCCGAGAAACACUCUCUCAGUUCGGAUCGUAGGCUGCAACUCGCCUACGUGAAGUCGGAAUCGCUAGUAAUCGCAGGUCAGCAUACUGCGGUGAAUACGUUCCCGGGCCUUGUACAC
rnacentral:rRNA from 1 species